AUAGCUGUCACCGUGGCUGCUGUCGGUGCAGGGGAACCCCCAUCCCCAGACGUCCCCGGAUGAAUUGCUCCCAAAAGGCAAAGCCGUGAAGACUGAGGAGGAGCUGGAGGAGGAUGACGAUGAGGAGCUAGAGGAGACCCUGUCAGAGAGACUAUGGGGCCUGACGGAGAUGUUUCCGGAGAGGGUCCGGUCCGUGGCUGGAGCCACUUCUGAUCUCUUCCUCUUUGUGGCUCAAAAAAUGUACAGGUUUUCCAGGGCAGCCUUGUGGACUGGGACCACUUCCUUUAUGAUCCUGGUUCUUCCCCUUGUCUUUGAGACUGAGAAGUUGCAAAUGGAGCAACAGCAGCAACUGCAGCAGCAGCAGAUACUUCUAGGGCCUAACACAGGGCUCUCAGGAGGAAUGCCAGGGGCUCUACCUUCACUUCCUGGAAAGAUCUAG
rnacentral:lncRNA from 10 species